GCCGCAGUUUCCACCGGACGCAGUUUGAGGCACGCGGCGCUUUUGUUUUUGCGCAGACAAAGCGCUUCGCGGCUGCGAGGCGCAAAGCGAUGACUGCGCGAGAGAGCGGCACUAAAGACAAAUGGGCUUCAACAAAGCCCAAAUAAGCUGGACGAGGAAAGACUGCAGCUGCGAGAUGGAGAAGCUGGAGAUGCUCCAGGAUCAGCAGAGAGGAAGCGUCAUAGCAUCACUUCAAUCCUGAA
rnacentral:lncRNA from 1 species